AUAGCGUAUAUUAAAGUUGUUGCAGUUAAAAAGCUCGUAGUUGAACUUCAGCCUCUUGGCCGGGCGGUCUGCCUCACGGUAUGUACUGUCUGGCUGGGGCUUACCUUCUGGUGAGCUUGCAUGCCGUUUAUUCGGUGUGUGAGGGAACCAGGACUUUUACCUUGAGAAAAUUAGAGUGUUCAAAGCAGGCAAAUGCCCGAAUACAUUAGCAUGGCAUAAUAAAAUAGGACGUGUGGUUCUAUUUUGUUGGUUUCUAGAGUCGCCGUAAUGAUUAAUAGGGAUAGUUGGGGGCAUUUGUAUUCCGUUGCUAGAGGUGAAAUUCUUGGAUUUACGGAAGACAAACUUCUG
rnacentral:rRNA from 1 species